CCUACGGGAGGCAGCAGUGGGGAAUUUUGGACAAUGGGCGAAAGCCUGAUCCAGCAAUGCCGCGUGUGGGAAGAAGGCCUUCGGGUUGUAAACCACUUUUGUACGGAACGAAACGGUCUGCUUUAAUAAAGUGGGCUAAUGACGGUACCGUAAGAAUAAGCACCGGCUAACUACGUGCCAGCAGCCGCGGUAAUACGUAGGGUGCGAGCGUUAAUCGGAAUUACUGGGCGUAAAGCGUGCGCAGGCGGUUAUAUAAGACAGUUGUGAAAUCCCCGGGCUCAACCUGGGAAUUGCAUCUGUGACUGUAUAGCUAGAGUACGGUAGAGGGGGAUGGAAUUCCGCGUGUAGCAGUGAAAUGCGUAGAUAUGCGGAGGAACACCGAUGGCGAAGGCAAUCCCCUGGACCUGUACUGACGCUCAUGCACGAAAGCGUGGGGAGCAAACAGGAUUAGAUACCCUGGUAGUCCACGCCCUAAACGAUGUCAACUGGUUGUUGGGUGCAUUAGUACUCAGUAACGAAGCUAACGCGUGAAGUUGACCGCCUGGGGAGUACGGCCGCAAGGUUGAAACUUAAAGGAAUUGACGG
rnacentral:rRNA from 1 species